ACUUCUGCAAUAGGCGAAAGCCUGACAGGGUUACUCUGAGUGACUUCCGCUAAGAAGGUCUUUUGACACGUCUAAAAAUGGUGUAGAAUAAGGGGUGGGCAAGUCUGGUGUCAGCCGCCGCGGUAAUACCAGCACCCCGAGUGGUCGGCGACGAUUAUUGGKCYUAAAGCAUCCGUAGCCGCUUYUUCAAGUCUUCYKUUAAAUCCACCYGCUYAACMURUGGGCUGCGGAGGAUACUAUMGACUAKGAGSCSGGAGAGGCAAGCGGUACUCWWUGGGUAGGGGURAAAUCCUCUGAUCCAUUGAAGACCACCAGUGGCGAAGGCGGCUUGCCAGAACGCGCUCGACGGUGAGGGAUGAAAGCUAGGGGMGCRAACCGGAUUAGAUACCCGGGUAGUCCCAGCUGUAAACRAUGCAGACUCGGUGAUGGCCCAGCUUCGUGCUACUUCCAKUGCCGCAGGGAAGCCGUUAAGUCUGCCGCCUGGUGGAGUACGUCGCAAUACUGAUACUUA
rnacentral:rRNA from 1 species